rnacentral:rRNA from 1 species
GACGGAGGGUGCAAGCGUUGUUCGGAAUCACUGGGCGUAAAGCGCGUGUAGGCGGUUCGAUAAGUCGGACGUGAAAGCCCGGGGCUUAACCCCGGAAGGGCAUCCGAAACUGUCGAGCUUGAGUACGGGAGAGGGAAGCGGAAUUCCUGGUGUAGAGGUGAAAUUCGUAGAUAUCAGGAGGAACACCGGUGGCGAAGGCGGCUUCCUGGACCGAUACUGACGCUGAGACCCGAAACCGCGUGGAGCUUACCGCAUCAGAUGGCCCCGUAGCCC